rnacentral:rRNA from 1 species
CCUACGGGUGGCAGCAGUGAGGAAUAUUGGUCAAUGGGCUUACGCCUGAACCAGCCAAGUCGCGUGAGGGAAGACUGCCCUAUGGGUUGUAAACCUCUUUUGUCAGGGAGCAAUUGGCGCUACGUGUAGCGUUAUCGAUAGUACCUGCAGACAAAGCAUCGGCUAACUCCGUGCCAGCAGCCGCGGUAAUCCGGAGGAUUCGAGCGUUAUCCGGCUUUAUUGGGUUUAAAGGGUGCGUAGGCGGAAUGCCAAGUCAGCGGUAAAAUCGCGGGGCUCAACCUCGAUCCGCCGUUGAAACUGGUGGUCUUGAGUGGGGGAGAAGUAGGCGGAAUGCGUGGUGUAGCGGUGAAAUGCAUAGAGAUCACGAAGAACUCCGAUUGCGAAGGCAGCAUACCGGAGCACAACUGACGCUGAAGCACGAAAGCGUGGGUAGCGAACAGGAUUAGAUACCCCUGUAGUC